rnacentral:rRNA from 1 species
UACGUAGGGUGCGAGCGUUAAUCGGAAUUACUGGGCGUAAAGCGUGCGCAGGCGGCGCGUUAAGACAGGUGUGAAAGCCCCGAGCUUAACUUGGGAAUUGCGCUUGUGACUGGCGUGCUGGAGUGUGGCAGAGGGAGGUGGAAUUCCACGUGUAGCAGUGAAAUGCGUAGAGAUGUGGAGGAACACCGAUGGCGAAGGCAGCCUCCUGGGCCAGCACUGACGCUCAUGCACGAAAGCGUGGGGAGCAAACAGGAU